rnacentral:rRNA from 1 species
GUCCACGCCGUAAACGAUGGAUACUAGCUGUUGGGCGCAAGUUCAGUGGCUAAGCGAAAGUGAUAAGUAUCCCACCUGGGGAGUACGUUCGCAAGAAUGAAACUCAAAGGAAUUGACGGGGGCCCGCACAAGCGGUGGAGCAUGUGGUUUAAUUCGAUGAUACGCGAGGAACCUUACCAAGGCUUAAAUGUAGAUUGACCGUUUUUGGAAACAGAACUUUCGCAAGACAAUUUACAAGGUGCUGCAUGGUUGUCGU